ensembl:lncRNA
GACUUGGGAUGUCAUGGGUGAAGAAGAGGGAAGGACAUGGAGGAAUCAAAGAGGCCAGCCCAAUGAAUGUCAGGCCCCCAGCUUGUUAACUGCUGAUUUGGCCAUCAUUAGUCCCUGCUCCAGCUGACGGCCCAUUUAUCUUGCCUUCACACAUCACCAUGCCAACAGAUGAUGGUUGAAAUGAGCAAUGUGAUACACACCAUUAGGCACUUCUGGAUCCAGGAAAUGACAUCUUUGGCCACAGCAACUAUCUUGAGUCCAUGAGGAAAAGAUGAAAAGAACUGCUGAGCCUUUGGCUCUCAUGUUCUUGAGCUGCGGAAACAAUGCCAGCAACCUCUUGCAUUUGGACUUCUUGUUGUGCAGGAAAACAAUGCGGGCAAGAGAUGUCAGAAAACAUGCCAGAAAAAAGGAGACUCUGGGAAAACACAUUCAAGAAUUUCUAGCAAUUAGAGAGGAGCAGAGGCCCCCAGCACCAACAGCUGAGCCUUUCAGGCUGCCAUACCACUGCCACCAGCACAGAGGAGCAGAGCCCUGCCCAGAGCCAAGAAGGUGAGUCUUGCCAGCAGCACACCUUCCCCCACCACCCCAUUGAAAUGAGAAGACACGUAAAUAAGUCUCAAAACUAGACUUCCAGAUCACCUAUAGCAAUCCAAGGGAAAACGAGAUGGAACAAUCUGAUAUUCAACUACCUGUACUCCCUGAACUGGCAACAAAAGAGGAUCAUGAAAAAAUAAAAUCAGAAAUAAUUUCUCAGAUAACAGCAGAGAUUGCACCCAUAGUGCAAGAUAUGAUUAAUAAAUCUAGAGAGGACACAGAUGAAAAAAUAGAGGAGCUGAGGAACAUGAUGGAAUCCCAACACAGGAAACAAACAGAAUCCAUAAAACAGAUACAAACAGAUUUCCAGGAGAUUAAAAACUCCACUGGAAGUUUACACAGCAAAAUGAGCCAAUGUGAGGACAGAAUUUCAGAUAUAGAAGAUAAGAUUGCAAUUAGUGACCAGGAAAAGAAAAAUUUCUUUAAAAUAGUAAAGGACUACAAGAAAUCAACCCAGCAGCUGCUAGACAAUGCAAAAAAGAAUAACAUAAGACUGAUCAGAGUCAAUGAAGAAACAGGAGAGAGUGCAGAUGACAUGAAAAAAACUGUUCACAGAGUGAUGGCAGAAAUUUCCCAAGCAGGGAAAUUGAACUUAACAUACAGAUAAAUGAGGCAUAUAGGACUCCAACUAGCCUUGAUCAAAAAAAAAAAAAAUCUACAUAUAGGCAUAUAAUAGUUGACAUUCCAGAAACCCAACAGAAGCACAAAAUUCUACAAGCAGUUAGAGAAAAGAAACAAAUCACAUACAAAGUAAACCCCAUCAAAAUCACAGCAGACUUUGCAAUACAAACCUUCAAGUCAAGAAGAACUUGGAGUGACAUAUUUCAAGUCCAAAAGGAAAUCAGCCUCCAACCCAGAUUGAUGUACCCUGCAAAACUAUCUUUCAAAAUUGAUGCAGAAAGAAGACACUUUCAUGACAAAGGGCACUUUAGGAACUUCAUGAAUACCAAACCAGCACUCCAAAAAACUUUAGACAAUAUCCUAGGAAAAGACAACAAGGAUCACAACCCUAGGAAACCCAGCAGAAUGAAUCCAUCAAGCAUGACAAGAAAUUAAACUCAAAGGAGGAGAAUAAAACAAAAAGGAAAAGUCAUGACAAUGAUAAGUCAAUAUGUAACAGUUAUAACCAUCAAUGUUAAUGAUCUCAAUUCAUCAGUUAAAAGAAAGAGACUGGCAGAAUGGGUCAAGAAGCAAGAUCCAACAAUAUGCUGCAUACAAGAAACAUAUUUAAUUCAAAAAGAAACUCACAGACUGAAAGAUAAAGGGUGGAAAAUAAUACUCCAUGUGACAGGAGCCUGAAAAAAGGCAGGAGUAGCUAUCUUCUUUCCAGAGCAAGUGGAUUUCAAACCAACACUGAUUAAGAGAAACAAAGAAGGGCACUACAUCCUUGUAAAGGGAACCAUCCAAGAGGAAGAGAUGACAAUCAUAAAUAUCUAUGCACCAAACACUAGUGUGCCCAACUAUAUAAAACAAAUAUUAAUGGACAUGAAAAAUCAAAUAAGCACUAAUACAAUAGUAGUGGGGGACCUCAAUACCCCACUGUCACAAAUAGAUAGAUCAACUAGACAAAAAAUAAGCAAUGAAAUACUAGAACUCAAACAAACUCUUGAAUGAAGGAACUUAACAGAUGUUUACAGAGUGUUCCACCCCACAAAAUCAGAAUACACAUUCUUUUCAGCUGCGCAUGGGUCAUUCUCCAAAACAGACCACAUACUCGCU